UACGGAGGGUGCGAGCGUUAUCCGGAAUUAUUGGGCGUAAAGGGUGCGUAGGCGGCUUGGUAAGUCAGAUGUGAAAGCCUAGGGCUCAACCUGGAAACUGCAUCUGAUACUGGCAAGCUUGAGUCUUGUAGAGGGGGGUGGAAUUCCAGGUGUAGCGGUGAAAUGCGUAGAGAUCUGGAGGAAUACCGGUGGCGAAGGCGGCUCCCUGGACGAAGACUGACGCUGAUGCACGAAAGCGUGGGGAGCAAACAGG
rnacentral:rRNA from 1 species